rnacentral:tRNA from 1 species
UCCCUGGAGGACUAGUGGUUAGGCCAUGGUGCUUUCACUGCCACGGCCCAGGUUCGAUUCCUAGCCAGGGAA